CCUGGUCUCAUGGGAAAUACGUACCUCUGCACACUUUUUUGCAGCGCCACAAAUAUGUACCAGCUGGUACGUAUUGCCACAGUUUUGAAACACAAACGUCCACUGGGGUCGCUAAAGAGAAGGACUGCAUGACAUUGUGAUCGACAGUAAGAGCAGAGGUUCCAGUCAUAUCAAAGAGGAAGAAGAGUAAAGUUUUUUAUUUUUUUUUAGCCUAUCAAGGAACAGGAGAUUUGAAGAUCAUCUGUAAUCUCACUAUCGCUCUGCCUCAUUCAGUACAACGCAGACAGGUAUUAAAAAAUAAAUGACUGAGAGAGUCAUCUGAUCAGCCUACAGAGAAAAAUAUGGAGGAGGAAUUACACUGUGAUCUUGAGGAAAUAAUGGCUGAUUUGGAGGAGAUGCAGUUAUUUUGUAUAAAACUAUGUAGCAUGCUUUCUGCAUCAAUCAGUAUUUCACUAAUGUGGGAAAAGAAAAUGGAUCAUUGGAAUUUGUUACUAUACCACUGUUUGUAUUUUUUGCAACUUCCAUAAAUGAUAUUCUGAAUCAUGUUAUUAUUUCUUAAAAAUGUAUAUAGUUCGGAGUCAUUGUUCUACCUCUUAUGUUUGAGUAAUACAGAGUGAGGAAGCGGUCAAAACACCACCU